AACGAACGCUGGCGGCAUGCCUAACACAUGCAAGUCGAACGAGCCCUUCGGGUCUUGUGGCGCACGGGGGCGUAACGCGUGGGAAGCUGCCCUUAGGUUCGGCAUAACUCCCCGAAAGGGGUGCUAAUACCGGAUAAUGUCUUCGGCCCAAAGAUUUAUCGCCUUUGGAUGGGCCCGCGUUGGAUUCGCUAGUUGGUAGGGUAAUAGCCUACCAAGGCGACGAUCCAUAGCUGGUCUGAGAGGAUGAUCAGCCACACUGGGACUGAGACACGGCCCAGACUCCUACGGGAGGCAGCAGAGGGGAAUAGUGAACAAUGGGCGAAAGCCUGAUGCAGCUAGGCCGCGUGAGUGAUGAAGGCCUUAGGGUUGUAAAGCUCUUUUACCCGGGAUGAUAAUGACAGUACCGGGAGAAUAAGCUCCGGCUAACUCCGUG
rnacentral:rRNA from 1 species